UACAGAGGUCUCAAGCGUUGUUCGGAUUCAUUGGGCGUAAAGGGUGCGUAGGCGGCGCGGUAAGUCGGGUGUGAAAUCUCGGAGCUUAACUCCGAAACUGCAUUCGAUACUGCCGUGCUUGAGGACUGGAGAGGAGACUGGAAUUUACGGUGUAGCGGUGAAAUGCGCAGAUAUCAGGAAGAACACCAAUGGCGAAGGCAGCUCUCUGGGACGGUACUGACGCUGAGACGCGAAAGCGUGGGGAGCGAACAGG
rnacentral:rRNA from 1 species